UUGGAGGGCAAGUCUGGUGCCAGCAGCCGCGGUAAUUCCAGCUCCAAUAGCGUAUAUUAAAGUUGUUGCAAGUUAAAAAGCUCGUAGUUGAAGUUUCGGGGUUAGUAGGUUGGUCAUGCCUCUGGUAUGUACUGGUCUCACUGAUUCCUCCUUCCUGAUGAGCCGUAAUGCCAUUAAUUUGGUGUUGCGAGGAAUCUGGACUGUUAACUUUAGAAAAAUUGAGUGUUAAAGCAGGCUAACGCUUGAAUACAUUAGCAUGGAAUAAUGAAAUAGGACGUUCGAUUCC
rnacentral:rRNA from 1 species